UACGUAGGGCGCAAGCGUUGUCCGGAAUCAUUGGGCGUAAAGAGCGUGUAGGCGGCCCGGUAAGUCCGCUGUGAAAGUCGGGGGCUCAACCCUCGAAAGCCGGUGGAUACUGUCGGGCUAGAGUGCGGAAGAGGCGAGUGGAAUUCCUGGUGUAGCGGUGAAAUGCGCAGAUAUCAGGAGGAACACCGAUUGCGAAGGCAGCUCGCUGGGACGUAACUGACGCUGAGACGCGAAAGCGUGGGGAGCAAACAGG
rnacentral:rRNA from 1 species